rnacentral:ribozyme from 14 species
AAGAAGAAAAGGAAUUAGAUAAAAGUAAAGCAAAUGCUUCAACGUACGAUUCAUUCUGUUGUUGUUGUUGUUGUUGUUUCGUUUCUUCUUGUUCUUCAUCACGAUCCUCAUUAGUAGUACCACUACUAAG